GGUGGCUCAGUGGCAGAGCGCUUGCCUAGCAUGCAUGAAGCCCUGGGUUCGAUUCCUCAGUACCA
rnacentral:tRNA from 1 species